rnacentral:rRNA from 1 species
UACGUAGGGUGCAAGCGUUAAUCGGAAUUACUGGGCGUAAAGCGUGCGCAGGCGGUUUUGUAAGUCUGUUGUGAAAUCCCCGGGCUUAACCUGGGAAUGGCGAUGGAGACUGCAAGGCUGGAAUCUGGCAGAGGGGGGUAGAAUUCCACGUGUAGCAGUGAAAUGCGUAGAGAUGUGGAGGAACACCGAUGGCGAAGGCAGCCCCCUGGGCUAAGAUUGACGCUCAUGCACGAAAGCGUGGGGAGCAAACAGG